GUCCAUUUUUGCUUGUUAGCGUGAUAUCUCAAGAACCACUUGAUCAAUUUCAUUCAAAUUUAGCAUUAGAGUGUACUUGGGUGAACCUUGAGAAAUACAU